rnacentral:rRNA from 1 species
UACGUAGGGGGCAAGCGUUGUCCGGAAUCAUUGGGCGUAAAGAGCGUGUAGGCGGCCCGAUAAGUCCGCUGUGAAAGUCCAGGGCUCAACCCUGGGAUGCCGGUGGAUACUGUCGGGCUCGAAUCCGGAAGAGGUGAGUGGAAUUCCUGGUGUAGCGGUGAAAUGCGCAGAUAUCAGGAGGAACACCAAUGGCGAAGGCAGCUCAUUGGGACGGUAUUGACGCUGAGACGCGAAAGCGUGGGGAGCAAACAGG